rnacentral:misc_RNA from 1 species
GGAAGGAUCAUUACCGUGUUUGAUGGCUUCGGCCAUUUUCCACGCCCCUUGUUUCCACCUCCGGUUUCUUUGGCGAGAACUUGAUCGCUCUCGUCAGAAUCACUCUGGGAAUGCGGUAUCGUCUGAGUCUUUGAUUAAAUCAGCUCAAAACUUUCAACAACGGAUCUCUUGGUUCCAGCAUCGAUGAAGAACGCAGCGAAAUGCGAUAAGUAAUGUGAAUUGCAGAAUUCCGUGAAUCAUCGAGUUUUUGAACGCACAUUGCACUCCUUGGCAUUCCGAGGAGUACGCCUGUUCGAGCGUCAUUUCACCAUCAAGCCCUCGGCUUGGAGUUGGGCCUGGCUGCGGCCAUGCCUUAAUGGAAUGGGCGAUUGACCAUAGUGAUGACUCACUCGCGUCAAUCCGCAUUUUGACUCUGGUUGACCUCGGAUCAGGCGGGGAUACCCGCUGAACUUAAGCAUAUCAAUAAGCGGAGGAAAAGAAACCAACCGGGAUUGCCUCAGUAACGGCGAGUGAAGCGGCAACAGCUCAGAUUUGAAAGCCGAGUCCCUUCGGACUUUGCAUUGUCAUCUGCAGAGGAAGUCUCGCGAACGACGAGCCCCAAGUCUCCUGGAACGGAGCGUCAUGGAGGGUGAGAAUCCCGUGGGGGUGACCGUCCGCCGCAGGUGAGACUCCUUCGACGAGUCGAGUUGUUUGGGAAUGCAGCUCUAAUUGGGAGGUAAAUUCCUCCUAAAGCUAAAUAUCGGCUGGAGACCGAUAGCGCACAAGUAGAGUGAUCGAAAGAUGAAAAGCACUUUGAAAAGAGAGUCAAACAGCACGUGAAAUUGUUGAAAGGGAAGCGCUGUCCGUCAGACUUGUCGGUGAGGAUCACCCUUCGUUUUUCGGGGGGGCACUCGUCGCCGGCAGGCCCGCAUCGGUUUGGGCGGCUGGAGAAAGGCGGUGGGAAUGUAGCUCUUCUCGAAGAGUGUUAUAGCCCGCCGCGCAAUACGGCCAGCCUAGACCGAGGUCUGCGCUUCGGCUCGGAUGUGGGCGUAAUGGCGGUCAGCGGCCCGUCUUGAAACACGGACCAAGGAGUCUAACAUCUAUGCGAGUGUUUGGGCGUCAAACCCCUACGCGAAAUGAAAGUGAACGGAGGCGAGAGCUUUUUGCGCACCGCCGACCGAUCCUGAUGUCCUCGGAUGGAUUUGAGUACGAGCGUAGCUGUUGGGACCCGAAAGAUGGUGAACUAUGCCUGAAUAGGGCGAAGCCAGAGGAAACUCUGGUGGAGGCUCGCAGCGGUUCUGACGUGCAAAUCGAUCGUCAAAUUUGGGUAUAGGGGCGAAAGACUAAUCGAACCAUCUAGUAGCUGGUUCCUGC